rnacentral:hammerhead_ribozyme from 1 species
AUCCACUUGACGAGUCCCAAAUAAGACGAAACCUGCAUCCUGGAU